rnacentral:rRNA from 1 species
GACGAACGCUGGCGGCGUGCUUAACACAUGCAAGUCGAACGGAAAGGCCCUGCUUUUGCGGGGUGCUCGUGUGGCGAACGGGUGAGUAAAACGUGAGUAACAUGCCCUUGACUUUCGGAUAACUUCAGGAAAAUGGGGCUAAUACCGGAUAGGAGCUCCUGCUGCAUGGUGGGGGUUGGAAAGUUUCGGCGGUUGGGGAUGGACUCGCGGCUUAUCAGCUGGUUGGUGGGGUAGUGGCUGACCAAGGCUUUGACGGGUAGCCGGCCUGAGAGGGUGACCGGCCACAUUGGGACUGAGAUACGGCGCAGACGCCUACGGGAGGCAGCAGUGGGGAAUAUUGCACAAUGGGCGGAAGCCUGAUGCAGCAACGCCGCGUGCGUGAUGACGGCCUUCGGGUUGUAAACCGCUUUCGCCGGUGACGAAGCGUGAGUGACGGUAAUGGGUAAAGAAGCACCGGCUAACUACGUG